GACGAACGCUGGCGGCGUGCUUAACACAUGCAAGUCGAACGGAAAGGCCCUGCUUUUGUGGGGUGCUCGAGUGGCGAACGGGUGAGUAACACGUGAGUAACCUGCCCUUGACUUUGGGAUAACUUCAGGAACUGGGGCUAAUACCGGAUAGGAGCCUCUGCUGCAUGGUGGGGGUUGGAAAGUUUCGGCGGUUGGGGAUGGACUCGCGGCUUAUCAGCUUGUUGGUGGGGUAGUGGCUUACCAAGGCUUUGACGGGUAGCCGGCCUGAGAGGGUGACCGGCCACAUUGGGACUGAGAUACGGCCCAGACUCCUACGGGAGGCAGCAGUGGGGAAUAUUGCACAAUGGGCGGAAGCCUGAUGCAGCAACGCCGCGUGCGGGAUGACGGCCUUCGGGUUGUAAACCGCUUUCGCCUGUGACGAAGCGUGAGUGACGGUAAUGGGUAAAGAAGCACCGGCUAACUACGUG
rnacentral:rRNA from 1 species